AUGGAAUUCCACCGUCCAAGUCAGGUCCCACCCGAAGCUGACCGUAGCGACGCACGUCUCUCUGCCGCCGCGGCAGCCCUCACCGCCUCGUCGACCCGGCGCUCUCCGCCGCCGCUGCCCGACUCAGGGCGACAGCUCGCGGAGGCCACCUCCGCGCCAGCCCUCACCGCCUCGUCGACCCGGCGCUCUCCGCCGCCGCUGCCCGACUCAGGGCGACAGCUCGCGGAGGCCACCUCCGCGCCAGGCCUCACUGCCUCGCGGCCCCUCCCCGACUCAAGGCGACAGCUCGCGCAGGCUACCUCUGCGCCAGCCCUCACCACCUCGCCCACCGGGGUAUCUCCGCCGCCGAGACCCCUCGCCGACUCAAGCCGACGGCUCGCGCAGGACACCUCCUCUCGGGCGCCAGCCCUCGUCAUUCAGUCUCGGGGGCACGCCUCCCCCUCCUCCCCAUGGCCGCUGCUGAGGGGCUCUCGUUUGGUUCGCUCCGCGGCGGAGCCGCCCGCCCUGGACGAGGCCGUCGAUGAGCCGCCGCAGGCGCAGCGGCGGCGGUCGUUCAAGAACACUGAUGAGCCACCGCAGAAGCAGCAGCGCACACCGCAGAAGGGCGUUGAACCAGAGCAAUGCAGGAUUGAAGACCGCCCAAAGGAGACCAAAGUGAACGUGCACCGGGGGGCUCCUUUUCCUAGAUGCCAGAUCUGUGGUAGGAGAGUCCUCACUUACUACUACAAGUGUUGUGGCCAGGCCACCUGCAAGGACUGCCAGCGUGCAUGCAAUUGCAGAUUCAAGACAAGGCUAGAUGUACCUAGAGUAAAGACCGGCGGGGGUGACCUAAGAGCAUCUCUAGUGGAUGGUGUAAAUUUGGACGUGUAUAUCUCCAUAUACACGUUCAUAUACACCUUACUAAAAUAUACACCUCUCAGUUUUUCAGUGGAACGUGUAAAUUUGGACGUGUAUAUUCCAACGGCUAUAUUUUCAAACGGCUAUAUUUUCAACGGCUAUAUUUUCAACGGUCGUAUUUCUCUAUAUAAACCACCCCUACCAUCUUUCUUCUAGCACUUCUAUCUGUGACUUCUCUUCUCACCUAGAUUUCUCUAUCGUCUCUCACGCAACACAAUGAACACAUCCACUUUGGACAUGAGUUCUUCGUCAUCUUCAUCUGGCGACGAUGAACUCAUACUUGCAGCAUUCGCCGAGCGCGAGGAGGAAGAGAGGAUGAACGCUCGACGCCAUGGCGGUUCCAAGCAUGGACGUCAAACAAUCAAUCGAGGAAGAGAUGCCGGAUUUGUUCUUCUGUGGGACGACUACUUCAAAGAAGUUCCUCGCUAUCCCGAACAUUUGUUUCGACGAAGAUUUAGGAUGUCCCGUAAUUUGUUCAAACGCGUAGCCGAUGGUAUACUUGAGCAUGAUUAUGAUGGUUAUUUUACUCAAAAAAGAAGUGCUUCUGGAGCUCUUGGGUUACAUCCUCUGCAAAAGAUGACCGCGGCAAUGCGGAUGCUGACAUAUGGAAUAGCAGCUGAUGGUGCUGAUGAGUACAUCCGGUCCGCUGAGGCUACUAAUUUAGAGUCUUGCAAGAAAUUUGUGAUCAAAGUUUGUGAAGUUUUUGGGGAAAGGUACCUGAGAUCUCCAAAUGAAGAAGACAUUGCUAGGUUACUUGCAAUAGGGGAGGAAAGAGGAUUUCCUGGUAUGUUAGGGAGCAUAGAUUGCAUGCACUGGGGUUGGAAAAAUUGCCCCAAGAAAUGGCAUGGCAUGUUUAAAGGCCAUGUCAGCGAGCCCACUAUGAUCUUGGAAGCAGUUGCUUCACAAGAUCUUUGGAUUUGGCAUGCUUAUUUUGGUUUACCAGGGUCUCUGAAUGAUAUAAAUGUUCUUCAACGUUCUCCUGUUUUUACAAAGCUAGCUGAAGGCCAAACUCCUCCAGUGAAUUAUAGCAUCAAUGGCCAUCAGUACACAAUGGGGUAUUAUCUUGCAGAUGGUAUCUAUCCACGGUGGGCAACAUUUGUGAAGAGCAUACCAGCUCCAGAUACCAGAAAACAUAAAACUUUUGCCAAGAGGCAAGAGGGGGCUAGGAAAGAUGUGGAACGAGCCUUUGGAGUUCUUCAAUCCCGUUUUGCCAUUGUUCGUGGACCUGCUAAAGGAUGGAAACGUAAAGAAAUCGGUGAUGUCAUGAAAGCUUGUGUCAUAAUGCACAAUAUGAUAGUUGAAGAGGAGCGACAAACUGGUCGGCAAAGCUGCACUUUUGAGGCAAUGGGAGAAAGAGUCACGGUCUCUCGUACUCAUGCGGAACAACUGAGCUCUUUUAUUCAGAUGACUCACCGGAUUAGAAAUCAAGGUGAACAUGAUCAGCUUAAACUUGAUCUAAUUGACCAUGUGUGGCAAAAGUUUGGAAACGAGUGAUGUCCUAGUUAUAAGUCUGUAAUCCGUUUCUUUUCAUCUAGUUUUAAUUUAUGCAAUGAGUGAUGUAAUCCAUGAAUUUAUAGCUAUCAAUAAAAUAUUUAUGCAA